CUGCCAUAUCUCUCUCUCUCUCCCUCCCACAAAUAAAUGAAAACAGAAGUACGUCGCGAGCGAGAGAGAAAGAAAGCAAGCACAAAAGUGUAAAAACUCACUUUCUUCAGUUUCAAAAUCAGAAUCCCUAGGGAAACACACAACCAAAAUUUGCAGAUCAAAACCCUAAUUUCAUCAAUCAAAUUUCCAAUUCUGGAUCUUCACAUUCUCAGAUCCGUUUUCUCUCUCUGUAAUUUAUGCAUUAGGUUUUUAUAGGGAGUUAUAUUAUUAUUAUUGUUAUUGUUAUUUUUUUUAUCUUUUAUUAAGUAUGGCGUGUAUAAAAUCGGUGAACCGAUCGGCGUCCGUGGCACUGGCGCCGGACGCGCCGUACAUGGCGGCAGGAACAAUGGCAGGAGCAGUGGAUCUGUCGUUUAGCUCAUCGGCGACACUUGAGAUCUUUAAGCUUGAUUUUCAAUCGGAAGAUCAUGAUCUUCCAUUUAUAGGCGAAUUUCAAAGUUCUGAGAGAUUUAAUCGUCUUGCUUGGGGUAAAAAUGGAUCUGGGUCGGACCAGUAUUCUCUUGGUCUUAUUGCUGGUGGGCUUGUUGAUGGUAGCAUUGAUAUUUGGAAUCCACUUUCUCUGAUCCGUCCUGAGGCUACUGAAAAUGCUCUUGUUGGACAUCUUUCAAAGCAUAGAGGGCCUGUUCGUGGUCUUGAAUUUAACACCUUCACUCCUAAUUUACUUGCAUCCGGUGCUGAUGAUGGUGAAAUUUGCAUCUGGGAUUUGGCUGCUCCUACAGCACCUUCUCAUUUCCCACCUCUAAGGGCUAGUGGUUCUGCUGCUCAAGGAGAAAUUUCUUACAUCUCUUGGAAUAGCAAAGUUCAACAUAUUUUGGCAUCCACUUCCUUUAAUGGAAUAACUGUUGUGUGGGACCUAAAAAAGCAGAAGCCAGUUAUCUCUGUUGAGGAUUCAGUUAGAAGGCGGUGUUCUGUUUUACAGUGGCACCCUGAUGUUGCCACUCAACUUGUUGUUGCAUCUGAUGAUGAUAGUUCUCCUGCCCUGCGGCUGUGGGAUAUGAGGAACACACUGACACCUGUGAAAGAGUUUGUGGGGCAUACUAAGGGUGUAAUUGCAAUGUCAUGGUGUCCAAAUGACAGUUCCUAUUUGCUUACCUGUGCUAAAGAUAAUCGAACUAUUUGCUGGAACACUAUAACCGGAGAGAUUGUCCGUGAAUUACCUGCUGGCUCCAAUUGGAACUUUGAUGUGCACUGGUAUUCAAAGAUACCAGGAGUUAUAACAGCAUCUUCUUUUGAUGGAAAGAUCGGGAUUUACAACAUUGAGGGGUGCAGUCAAUAUGUUGCUGGGGAGAGUGAUCUUGGAGCAGCUACACUAAGAGCUCCAAAAUGGUAUAAGCGUCCAGCUGGUGUGUCUUUUGGCUUUGGGGGAAAGCUUGUAUCAUUUCACCCCAAGUCUUCUACAGCUAGUGCUUCAGAGGUUCUUUUGCAUAACCUGGUUACAGAGCAUGGUUUGGUCAGUCGGUCAUCUGAAUUUGAAUCUGCCAUACAAAAUGGGGAGAAGUCAUCACUGAAAGCAUUAUGUGAGAGAAAAUCUCAAGAGUCCGAGUCAGAGGAUGACCGUGAAACUUGGGGCUUCUUAAUGGUCAUGUUUGAAGAAGAUGGGACAGCAAGGACAAAGAUGCUUUCCCACCUUGGUUUCAGUGUACCUGUUGAAGAGAAAGAUGCCCUGCAAGAUGAUAUCUCCGAACAAAUAGAUGCUGUUCGGCUUGAUGAUACAGCAACAGAUAAAGUGGGAUAUGAGAGCGUUAGAGAGGCCACUGUUUUCUCUGCAGAUGAUGGGGAAGAUUUUUUUAACAAUCUCCCAAGCCCCAAAGCUGACACUCCACAUAAAUCGAGUGAUAACUUUGGCACUGGAAAUUCUGUCCCUCAGGCAGAAGAACCAAAACUGGAACCAGAUGGAGUGGAAGAGAGUUCUGAUCCAUCAUUUGAUGAUAGUAUUCAGCGUGCUUUGGUUGUGGGUGACUACAAAGGUGCUGUUGCACAGUGCAUAUCUGCAAAUAAAAUGGCUGAUGCUUUAGUUAUUGCUCAUGUUGGUGGUACUUCUUUGUGGGAGAGUACACGUGAUCAGUACCUUAAGAUGAGUCGUUCACCUUACUUGAAGAUUGUUUCUGCAAUGGUGAACAAUGAUCUGAUGAGCCUUGUAAACACGAGGCCUCUCAAAUACUGGAAAGAAACACUUGCUCUUCUCUGUACGUUUGCACAGAAUGAGGAAUGGAGUCUGCUAUGUAAUUCACUCGCAUCAAAACUAAUGGCUGUCGGAAAUACUUUAGCUGCUACUCUGUGUUUUAUCUGUGCUGGAAAUAUAGACAAAACUGUUGAAAUUUGGUCAAGGAAUCUGACAUCUGAGCAUGAAGGGAAGUCAUAUGUUGAACUUCUUCAGGAUUUGAUGGAGAAGACUAUUGUCCUUGCUCUGGCAAGUGGUCAGAAGCGAUUUAGUGCAUCUUUAUGCAAGCUUGUUGAGAAAUAUGCUGAAAUUUUAGCCAGCCAGGGCUUGUUAACGACAGCAAUGGAAUACUUGAAACUCUUGGGAUCUGAUGAACUGUCUCCUGAACUUAUAAUUUUAAGAGAUCGUAUUGCCCUCUCUACAGAACCCGAGAAAGAUGCCAAGACUACGACUUUUGGCAUCUCCCAACAGCCAAGUGGGUCAAUGUAUGGUGCUGAGCAAUCCAGCUAUGGUCUAGCUGAUUCGUCUCAGAACUAUUAUCAGGAAACACCAACAUCACAAGUGCAUCAAAGCAUUCCUGGAAGCCCAUACAGUGAAAAUUAUCAACAGUCUCUGGGCCCUUCAUAUGGAAGAACAUAUGGUGCUCCUGCACCAUAUCAGCCUGCUCCGCAGCCUGCACCGUAUCAGCCUGCGGCACAGCCUGCACCAUAUCAGCCUGCACCACAGCCUGCACCGUAUCAGCCUACACCAUAUCAGCCGGCCUCACAGCCUGGAAUGUUCAUUCCAUCUCAAGCACCUCAGGUUCCUCAGGCAAGUUUUGCUCCACCUAAUGCUGCCACUCAGCAAGCUGUGAGGACUUUUGUUCCUUCAGAUGUCCCUAUUUUGAGAAAUGCAGAGCAGUACCAGCAACCCACAUUGGGUUCUCAGUUAUAUCCUGGGGCUGCUAACCCUACCUAUCAGCCUGUACAACCUCCAGCUGGUUCACAAGGCCCCAUUACAUCUCAAGUGGGUCCAAUUCCUGGCCAUAAACCACAGGUUGUGGCCCCCGCUUCUACACCAAUGGGAUUUAGGCCUCUAACAAAUUCUGGGGUUAGACCUGCAAUAGGUUCAAUGCAACCUCCCAGUCCUACUCAGUCAGCAAUAGUACAGCCAGCUGUGGCACCUGCUGCACCGCCAACAACAGUGCAGACGGUUGAUACUUCAAAUGUACCUGCUCAUCAUAGGCCUGUCAUUACGACAUUGACGCGACUUUUUAACGAGACAUCAGAAGCCUUGGGAGGUUCACGUGCAAAUCCAGCCAGGAAGCGUGAAAUAGAAGAUAAUUCAAGGAAAAUUGGUGCCUUGUUUGCCAAGCUCAAUAGUGGGGAUAUAUCAAAAAAUGCUUCCGAUAAGCUUGUUCAGCUUUGCCAGGCAUUAGAUAAAAAUGAUUUUAGCACAGCCCUCCAAAUCCAGGUACUUCUCACAACAAGUGAAUGGGAUGAAUGUAAUUUCUGGCUAGCAACACUAAAAAGAAUGAUCAAGACAAGGCAGGGUGCAGGUGUGAGAUCAAGUUAAAGCAGAAAAAGCAUCCAAUUUCUGUGUUCUCCACUUGGUAUUUAUGAUUUAACUGGUGGUAAUGCUCCAUGGAUGCUGGUUGUUAGUUUCUUCGGUGUACACAAGAACAUCUUUUUUACACUGCGACUACAGGUUCAGGAGCUCCCUCAACCCUCUUCUUCUUCUCUACUGCCAAAUGGCCAAGGAUUCUUUGUCCUCCCCUGAAGCAUCUGGUAAAGACCCAUCAUCAUCAAAGUGGAAUAUUGCAUCUCGUACGUACAGCCUAUAGCUUUACCAUAUUUUACUGUCGCGUUUAACUGUUCAUAUGAAAUUGUAGUUUGGCAUAUUGCUGUAAAUGAGGCGCACACAGAGAUGUAUGGUUUUAGUCAUUCUUCCAUAAUCAAAUGAAGUAUUUUAAGUACUUGAAAA